AGUAUCUGCCUACAUGACAGUAUGCUGCUCAAAAUCUGAGUUAUGUUCCCAGGCAAGCUGUUGGUCAUCUGCAUGGAACUGAGAAGGUAGUCACAGCCAGCAGCAAAAUGAUGCUCCCUGCAGCAAAGGAGAACUAAGGCUAUUAAUGCUCCUGAGGCCUGGCUUGUUCUUGUCACAUCUGUUCCAGGGGAUGCACAUAUCUAUUCCUAACACAGCUUGAGGAAGUCCAGCACUGCAAGAUAUGUGGUAGUUUUCCGCACCAUCAAGGGUUCCCCAUAGCUGCUUUCAUUGGUCAGCCUGGCAGUCCCAGGGGAGUCUUGUGUAUGUUCAGACCACUGACAUUCUGCAACUCUCACCAUGUAUGACAUUUAUUGCUUACAGAUCAGACUUAUCUCACAGAAACAAAUGCUGGCAAGUGGUUUGUAUUAAUAAUGCACUGAAAGCUGCAUCCACAUCUGAUGUUUCUAUUCAUUCUUGUGGAAAAGGAUUACUGUGAACCUUGAAUGUUCUUUUAGUUCCUCCUGUUGGAUUGGUCUUGAGGGCUCUCGGGGUACUUGAAGACUUAGAGAAAUGUAAGUGGGCCUUCCUAAAAGAAAAAAGGCAACUUUUUUUCCUAUUAGUUCCAAAGGAGCAUAUCUCCUGAAGCGAAGGAAUCCUAGCCAGACAUAAGAGAUCAAGAAUAGCUAGCUAUCUUGUGGAUUAAAAAUGGACACUGUGUUCAGCUAAAUUAGCCAGGACUGUGCAGAACGGUUUCCUUCUGUGUCCUUCUCUUCCUACUUCUUUCCCAAGCUAUCUCAUCUUAUCCACAAAGUGGCGGUCAGAUGGUUUUAAAGAUGCUUUGUUACUCUCUAAAUUUCACUCCCCCUUUGAACACCUGAGUCACUGAGUCAACCAGAUCCAAACUCCUCUAUUGGGCUCCUCACUACCUCUGCAUUGAUCCUACAUCCUUCCAUCUGGGACCAGGAGCGAGGCACAUCCUGUUCAGUGCACGACCAGAAUGGAACAGUAAUGAGUGGUGGUGCACACUCAGCUUGGAGCUGCACAGACAGCAAUCAUGACAAGGCACGCAGGGUUAUUUGAAAUCCUGUCCAUCUCUGCUUUGUCCAGCUCUACUAUCAAUGGCCUGCACAGCAAAUGAAUGACAAAUGUUACUUAGGAUCUUCUUUUCCCAAAGUGUUCCGUUUUUUCAUGAUGCAUUGACUGGCACAGUUACCAAUGGAAAUGCUGGGAGUAUUUUAUCCCUCAACUGUACCAGACUAAACCUGGUAGCUCUCUCUCCUGGCAACUGGAAGAAGCAGCUGUGAGCAAAUAUCAGGAGUUGCACUCUACACCCUAAGGAAACACUGUGGUGAGAGUUAGUGUAUCUUCAAGUUGCGUAAUGUCUUCCUUUCUCUCUACUGAUAGAUCCAUGCUUAAGGCACUGUGGUCAUCCUCAAGGAAUUACUGCAAAAGAUUAUGGGGUACUUCCUACAUAAAAAGUGAUUAUUAGC
ensembl:lncRNA